rnacentral:rRNA from 1 species
UAACCUGUGUGGAUGACGGUACCGGAAGAAGAAGCACCGGCUAACUACGUGCCAGCAGCCGCGGUAAUACGUAGGGUGCGAGCGUUAAUCGGAAUUACUGGGCGUAAAGCGUGCGCAGGCGGUUUUGUAAUACAGAUGUGAAAUCCCCGGGCUUAACCUGGGAACUGCAUUUGUGACUGCAAGGCUAGAGUACGGCAGAGGGGGUAGAAUUCCACGUGUAGCAGUGAAAUGCGUAGAUAUGUGGAGGAAUACCGAUGGCGAAGGCAGCCCCCUGGGUCGAUACUGACGCUCAUGCACGAAAGCGUGGGGAGCAAACAGGAUUAGAUACCCUGGUAGUCCACGCCCUAAACGAUGUCAACUAGGUGUUGGGGGGGGAGACUUCCUUAGUACCGCAGCUAACGCGUGAAGUUGACCGCCUGGGGAGUACGGUCGCAAGAUU